rnacentral:misc_RNA from 1 species
GGUGGUCCAGGUGGAGGCAUGGAGUAGUUGUUGACUCGUCGCCGCCUCACCGGAAGUGAUUCAAAGUUUUCCACCGCGGAAGUCAGAACCCUAGUUCUAAUCCUGAGAACUUCAAAGAAUCGAAGUGAAAACUGAAAAGUUAUGGGUAUUAUUGGCCUAUUGGGAAUUAUCGCGGUAUCGCCUAUAACUAGGGUGUAAAAUUAGAAAAUUAGGAAAAAAAUAUUAAUAUAAAUAUAGGUCUUAUCGGGGUAUCGGGUAGCCCGAUAUUUUGGCUCCCCAACCCGACCCCCGAACCGAUUACCCAAUACACUAUUUUUCUAAAUCGAGCCCCGAACUGUUAGCCCAAUAACUCAAACCGGUAGCCCAAUAACCCGAAAAUCGGUCCGGGUUAACGGUUUGACCCGUUUUUUGCACAGGCAUGGCCAUUCAAGAUAAAUAUAUAAAUCACGAAAA